rnacentral:rRNA from 1 species
GUGCCAGCAGCCGCGGUAAUACGGGGGGGGCAAGCGUUGUUCGGAAUUACUGGGCGUAAAGGGCUCGUAGGCGGCCAACUAAGUCAAACGUGAAAUCCCUCGGCUUAACCGGGGAACUGCGCUUGAUACUGGAUGGCUUGAGAUUGGGAGAGGGAUGCGGAAUUCCAGGUGUAGCGGUGAAAUGCGUAGAUAUCUGGAGGAACACCGGUGGCGAAGGCGGCAUCCUGGACCAACACUGACGCUGAGUGAGCGAAAGCCAGGGGAGCAAACGGGAUUAGAUACCCCUGUAGUCC